rnacentral:rRNA from 1 species
AUAAUGGCGUUGUUAGCAAUUAUACAGCGAAACUGCGAAUGGCUCAUUAUAUAAGUUAUCGUUUAUUUGAUAGUACCUUACUACUUGGAUAACCGUGGUAAUUCUAGAGCUAAUACAUGCUAAAAAUCCCGACUUACGAAGGGAUGUAUUUAUUAGAUUAAAAACCAAUGCCCUUCGGGGCUCACUGGUGAUUCAUAAUAACUUCUCGAAUCGCAUGGCCUUGCGCCGGCGAUGGUUCAUUCAAAUUUCUUCCCUAUCAACUUUCGAUGCUAGAGUAGUGUUCUAGCAUGGUUACAACGGGUAACGGAGGGUUAGGGCUCGACCCCGGAGAAGGAGCCUGAGAAACGGCUACUACAUCCAAGGAAGGCAGCAGGCGCGCAAAUUACCCAAUCCCGACACGGGGAGGUAGUGACGAUAAAUACUGAUACAGGGCUCUUUUGGGUCUUGUAAUUGGAAUGAGUACAAUUUAAAUCCCUUAACGAGGAACAAUUGGAGGGCAAGUCUGGUGCCAGCAGCCGCGGUAAUUCCAGCUCCAAUAGCGUAUAUUAAAGUUGUUGUGGUUAAAAAGCUCGUAGUAGAACCUUGGGCCUGGCUGGCCGGUCCGCCUCACCGCGUGCACUGGUCCGGCCGGGCCUUUCCCCCUGUGGAACCUCAUGCCCUUCACUGGGUGUGUGGGAAAACAGGACUUUUACUUUGAAAAAAUUAGAGUGCUCCAGGCAGGCCUAUGCUCGAAUACAUUAGCAUGGAAUAAUAGAAUAGGACGUGUGGUUCUAUUUUGUUGGUUUCUAGGACCGCCGUAAUGAUUAAUAGGGACAGUCGGGGGCAUCAGUAUUCAAUUGUCAGAGGUGAAAUUCUUGGAUUUAUUGAAGACUAACUACUGCGAAAGCAUUUGCCAGGGAUGGUUUCCUUUAUC